rnacentral:lncRNA from 1 species
CCGCCGCCGGGGGGUCCUCCGCCGCCACCGCCGCCGUAGUGGUUGACGAAGAUGAGGCCGGUGAAGAGCAGCACCACCAUGGAGAGGAAGGAGAAGACGACGCACACGCAGCCGGCGGUGAGCGCGGCGCGCUUGCAGUUCUGGCAGCUCUCGUAUGCGCCCGGGGCGCGCAGGCCGGCGCGGGCGCGUGGCCCGUGGGCCGCGUCCUCGGCGGGCGGCGGCGGCGGCAGCGGGGCCGGGGCUGGCGGCGGGGCCGCUGCAGGCGCUGGGCGGCGCGCGGGCAGCGGCGGGAGGCGGUCCUGGGGCAGCGGGUCGUGCGCGGCGCGCAGGGCCAGCGGGAAGGCCUCGGCGAGCUUAGUGUUGUUGGGCAGGCCGUGCACGCGGCUGUCGGGCAGCGGCGUGCGGUGGCGGCACACGGGGCACGCGAUGGCGCCGGGCGGGCCGUGCCAGGGCGGCGGGCGCAGCGGGCGCUCAGGCGCGGCGGUGGCGGCGGCGGCGGCGGCGGCGGCGCGGAGCUGCAGCUGGCUCAGGCACUCCUGGCAGAAGGUGUGCAGGCACGCCAGCAGCUUGGGCGCGCGCCGGUCCGCGUCGAAGUAGUUGUAGCAGAUUUUGCACUCGUAGUCCUCGAGCGGAGGGAGGCCGGAGACCGUCACCGUGGCGCUCCGGGCUCCCGAGUCCCCGCCGUCCCGAGCUCCCGCCACGGUGCCCCCGGCUCCUGUGGAGCUCCCGGGGCUGCUGGAUGGGCUCCGCUCGCCGGCGUCCCCGCCGCCGCUAUCGCUCGUCGGCGCUGCCAUGGCAGGAUCCGCCCCUCAUCGGGGGCAAGGUUGGACCUCACCCUAUGAAGAGAGAACCCCUCCCCUCGAACCCCCAGCAAGGAACAGGAAGGGGAUGGCUCUCUGGGUUCUCAGGAGGUGGCAAUGUCCCCUCUUUCUCUCUGGAUUCUCAGCAGAAGACAGCAAGAUGCCCCAGGGAAUAUUUGUGGAAAACGACGAAUGAAUGGGGAACAGGCUGAAGGAAAGGAAAGAAAGCUACUGGUUGGCAAUAGAAACCAGUGAACACGAGAGGCAGAAUGCUUGCCUUCAUGGAGCUUAUCUUCUGGUCUAUGUGGAUGUGCAUGAGAGACAGACAAUCAACCAAGAAAUGAAUAUGUAAUAUGAUCAGAAGUGGAAAGUGCUAUGGAGAAAAGUAUAGCAGGAUAGAAGGAAGUGUUGGGAUGUGGAAGGAGUGGUGUGCUGUUUUAAAUAAGGUGGCCAGGAAGGCCCAUCUAAUAAAGUGACAUUUGAGCAAAGACCUUAAGGAAGGGAGAGAGAGAGAACCAUGUGGCUCUCCAAAGGAACAGUGCCCCAAGCAAACCGAACAGCAUGUGCAAAAGUCCUGAGGUGGGAGCAUGUUUGAUGUAUCCCAGGAACGGCAAGAAAGCCGAUGGCAGGAGCAGAGUGAGCUAGGGAUGGGGAUGGGAGAUAAGGAUGGAUUGGGUGAGACUGAUGGGUUCUGUACGUGAACGUGAGGCCCACAGAAUCUGCUGGCAUGGGG